ensembl:snoRNA Gm24471 small nucleolar RNA SNORA17
CCUGCUUCUAGAGGCACUGCAGGUGUGACUGCUGGGUCAAGUGUGCAUCAGUAGGUGACAGAGAGGAGAGAGGCUAUGUCUAAGCUCAGUGUCUGACCUGGGGACAUCUGAAUGAUUAGUAGCCUGUUAUU